rnacentral:lncRNA from 1 species
GAGGAGAGUGUCGGUGGGAGAUAGAUGCUUCAUCUUGAGGCCUGUAGCAUGAGCCCAGAGAGGGAUGGAGGGAAUCUCAAGGCUGAAAUCUGAAAGUAAAUUCUAGGGGAAUCACAGAGCCGUCUUGGGUGUUCAGCCUGGUGGUGCCUCCAGACAACUCCAGCUCCAGACACCAUCUGAUGGAGAUCUCCUGAGAGCCCGUGAGU